rnacentral:rRNA from 1 species
AUUGAACGCUGGCGGCAGGCCUAACACAUGCAAGUCGAACGGUAACAGGAAGCAGCUUGCUGCUUUGCUGACGAGUGGCGGACGGGUGAGUAAUGUCUGGGAAACUGCCUGAUGGAGGGGGAUAACUACUGGAAACGGUAGCUAAUACCGCAUAACGUCGCAAGACCAAAGAGGGGGACCUUAGGGCCUCUUGCCAUCGGAUGUGCCCAGAUGGGAUUAGCUAGUAGGUGGGGUAACGGCUCACCUAGGCGACGAUCCCUAGCUGGUCUGAGAGGAUGACCAGCCACACUGGAACUGAGACACGGUCCAGACUCCUACGGGAGGCAGCAGUGGGGAAUAUUGCACAAUGGGCGCAAGCCUGAUGCAGCCAUGCCGCGUGUAUGAAGAAGGCCUUCGGGUUGUAAAGUACUUUCAGCGGGGAGGAAGGGAGUAAAGUUAAUACCUUUGCUCAUUGACGUUACCCGCAGAAGAAGCACCGGCUAACUCCGUGC